rnacentral:rRNA from 1 species
AUUGAACGCUGGCGGCAGGCUUAACACAUGCAAGUCGGACGGUAACGGGAAGAAAGCUUGCCUUUGCUGACGAGUGGCGGACGGGUGAGUAAUGCUUGGGAAUCUGUUUUAUGGAGGGGGAUAACUACGGGAAACUGUAGCUAAUACCGCGUAAUAUCGAGAGAUUAAAGUGUGGGACCGUAAGGCCACAUGCCAUAGAGUGAGCCCAAGUGGGAUUAGGUAGUUGGUGGGGUAAGGGCCUACCAAGCCAUCGAUCUCUAGCUGGUCUGAGAGGAUGACCAGCCACACUGGGACUGAGACACGGCCCAGACUCCUACGGGAGGCAGCAGUGGGGAAUAUUGCACAAUGGGCGCAAGCCUGAUGCAGCCAUGCCGCGUGAAUGAAGAAGGCCUUCGGGUUGUAAAGUUCUUUCGGUGGUGAGGAAGGUUGGCGUGUUAAUAGCACGUUAAUUUGACGUUAGCCACAGAAGAAGCACCGGCUAACUCCGUGCCAGCAGCCGCGGUAAUACGGAGGGUGCGAGCGUUAAUCGGAAUAACUGGGCGUAAAGGGCACGCAGGCGGAUACUUAAGUGAGGUGUGAAAGCCCUGGGCUUAACCUAGGAAUUGCAUUUCAUACUGGGUAUCUAGAGUAUUUUAGGGAGGGGUAGAAUUCCACGUGUAGCGGUGAAAUGCGUAGAGAUGUGGAGGAAUACCGAAGGCGAAGGCAGCCCCUUGGGGGAAUACUGACGCUCAUGUGCGAAAGCGUGGGGAGCAAACAGG